CCUACGGGAGGCAGCAGUGAGGAAUAUUGGUCAAUGGGCGCAAGCCUGAACCAGCCAAGCAGCGUGAAGGAUGACGGCCCUAUGGGUUGUAAACUUCUUUUAUAAGGGAAUAAAGUGAGGUACGUGUGUCGUUUUGAACGUAUAGUAUGAAUAAGGAUCGGCUAACUCCGUGCCAGCAGCCGCGGUAAUACGGAGGAUCCGAGCGUUAGCCGGAUGUAUUGGGUUUAAAGGGUGCGUAGGCGGGUUGUUAAGUCAGUUGUGAACGUUCGGGGCUCAACCGUGAAAUUGCAAUUGAUACUGGCAGUCUUGAGUACAGUUGAGGUAGGCGGAAUUGGUGGUGUAGCGGUGAAAUGCUUAGAGAGCACGAAGAACACCGAUUGCGAAGGCAGCUCACUAAACUGGCGCUGACGUUGAGGCACGAAAGCGUGGGUAGCAAACAGGAUUAGAUACCCGAGUAGUC
rnacentral:rRNA from 1 species